CUUUUUGGUGGCCAUGCGCAGGGUCUCUUCGGAGGCGCCGGCUCCGAUGCCCGGUCUACCAACCUUCGUAUGGCCGCCACCCUA
rfam:Pseudomonas fluorescens F113, complete genome.